rnacentral:sRNA from 2 species
GCAAUAGCUGACUAGGGUUCCGGCUCGCCACAGGCGAGUGGCUGGUCCGAGAGCCAGCGACCUCCAGUAGAGGUUACACGGCGGGAUAAAAGCCCGGGAGAA